UGCUUGUGUGUGAAGACAUUUUCCCCCUUGGCAGAAUUUAAGCUCUGAGUGGGCUGCUGUCUGUCUGAUGUGGAGCACGAUGGAAGAAUUCUGCCUUUGUCUCCAUUGAAGAUGAAAAUGAUUUAGAGCUGGCUCAGUAACAUGCCACAGAGAGAUGUGCCAAGGCCUGAUGAGAGAGGUGAGCCAAAGCUGCUCUGGAGCCAGAUGUGUAACUGGGUAGGGUGCAGUCCCCUGCAAGGUGCAUGUUAUGAGAGGCUGCACUGAGGGGGGGAAGGACCCUCAGCAAGUGACCUGUGGUGGGGGAACACUGAUGAGGUGCUGGCUUUGCAUGAUGCCAGGGAUGCUAUGGACCUGCAAUGGGAAGCUGGCGCCUGCCUGGGCUCCACAGUGUGCAUCUUGAAUGUUGAUUAAGUUUACAGUAAAGGACACAAUGGGACCAAGCGUUGGUGACCAAGAAGGUGAGACUGGAGAUGUGUUCAUAGGUUGAGCCUUCAAGAUCAUCCAAGCAGAAGAGGACACUAGCUGGUUUUGCUUGUAGAGCUGAAGCCACUGACAGCUCAGAUCAGCAUCUCACCACAUCAACCAGCUCUGUGCACUGCAACCACCAGGACAGAGACAACUCUUCUUCCGUGUACAAAUGUGAUGGCUCUUAGUGGAGGCUGGACCUGUGACCCUGUCCUCAGCAAGGAGGCAACUGAGAAAAGGAGUGUGACAGACAAUGUGUGAUGCUGAGAAACCCAGGGGAGAUGAAAGCUUUCAUCCUACCCUUCCAGUCGUUGAAUUUAGGUGUCCUCUUUGCCCAUCUUCGCAAUGAAACUAAUUUGAGUAAAUUCUGAGAAGUCCAAUGGCAUGAAUACACCGUUCCACAAAGCAGCUGAAAAAUAAGUAUUUGUGUGAAAUAGUAUUUCAAUCACAGAAGUCAAGGGUGAUGGCACCAACACGACAGUAAACUGCACUUACCCAAGCCCCUCACGCAUGCACCCUUCACAUGAAUGGAUGAGUGAAUGGAUGAAUAAAUAAAAGUCAAACAAAGAGCUGGGUUCACUGUAGUCAUGAGUCAGCCAGGCUUAAGUAAGGAAGAAGAACUGUCAGAUUUUGAGCUGAUCAGCUGAACUGAUGAAA